rnacentral:lncRNA from 1 species
AAGUGGGCGUGGAAAGAGAGCGGAAGCCGAAACUAGGCGGCUUCACAGAUCUUGCACUGGGUCCCUGUGCCUGCCUGCCAUCGAGGAUCCAAAAUCUAAGGAUGAUGCUCGGAGUCCCACCACAGCCUGUCAGAGUUCACAUAGCGAAACCCAAAGCGCCUGCCCCUGUGACAUCAUCUGAAUUCAGCCACCCUCACUACCGCCACCAGCCCAGGAUAAGGAUCAUAUUUCCAGUCUCCUUUGCAGCUACCCGGCCACUGGACCAAUCUCCAACCAGGCAGAUAAAGGGAUGGAAGUUAGAGUCUCGCCUGGCGACUUCCGGUAACAGCUUUGUGCCACUUUCCCUAGAACGAUCCUCCUGCCUCCUUCCUGCCAGCUCCAUGGAUUGUAAAAUCACGUUGGGCGUGGCAGCCAGACAGAAUAAAGCACCAAAUUAAAACAGGUGCCAGUGUCCCCAUGUCAUGCAGAGUCAGCAAGGCACUCUGCACCAGCCCCAGCCCCACACUUCCUAUCUCCAGGUUUCUAAAAUAAAGAGAAAAAUGAAAUUGCCCUGUGCCCCAAACUGUGGCUAUUUGAGGGUUUUCUAUUACAAGUAGGCGAACUCAUUCCUAGCCAGUAUAGAGGCUAAGCGGCCAAGGGGUAAGGGGAAUCGUCUCAAGCAGGAUGGACAGGAAGGUAUCCCCGAGGGUGUGACAUUUGGGCAGAACAAAAGGAGGGAGAAGCCAAGCUGUGUGGGCAAGGGUGUCCCAGGCAGAACUUGCUCCCUGUCACCUAAGCUGGCAACCCAAGCCUUGUCCCCAGGCACCUUCUGUUCUACAGGCCACGUCUCACCUGUCACCAGAACAGAGUUCAGAACAAAGGAAACCAACUAAGGACACACACUCCCAGUCUCACCUCUCAGGCUGCCUUCUGCAGUCUGGCCCACAAAGGGUUAAACUGCUCCCCCCCCCAGCCCCCCCCCCCCCAAAGAGCUCUGUGAUGGAGCCUGGGGCCUUGUCUGGAAAACUGAUCUUGUGGGUUCUUUUAGUUCUGUAAGUCUGUGGUACUUUGUUAGGGAAUCCUUAAAGGAGAGGUUUCCUUUCAGGGAUAUGGUCUGACUGUGUAGCCCAGACUGGGCUCGAACUCACAAUCUUCCUGCCUGAGCCUCCAAGGGCUGGGGCUCUGUGAAGGUUAUGUUUUAUUGAGAUGUAAACUCACAUAUUACAUAAUUUAACCAUC